rnacentral:lncRNA from 1 species
AUCUGGUCCUUGUCCUAGAGGAGCUAAUACUUUCUUUACAGAGAGGACUUAUAUAUACACACAAGUCUUAAAGAGGAGUAUGUUCCAGAAUGGCACCAUUUAAAGUUUAAAACAGUGUUUGAUCAAAUGUGAGGGAUGGGGUUGUGCCUACAAGUACCUCCAGCUCUUAAGAUGUUCAUCCUCAUGGAAUGUUCCAUGACAGGGUGAGGGCUCCAAGGCAAAGCAUAUAUACAGAUAGAUUGUGUCUAUAUGGUUGCCAGUUGAUCAAUGUGAUUUAACAAUUUUUAUUCUCUCAUCUCAUGUUCCAUCCUUCCCAUCCAAACCUUUGGGCUCAAGGGAGGCCACUGGCCUAGGUCUUUCUCAAAAAGACCUUCCAUCAUUGCCUUUGAUUACCGUGGACUCUGGUUUCCUUUAGAGGGUGGACCCAUGUCCUCACAACCCCCUUCCCAGAGACAGCCCCACUGUCCUAAAAAGUCACCCAUUGCUAUGCACCAACAACUCCCCUAGAGACACAGAGGGGGAAGUCCAAAAAAAAUGUAGAGGGUGAGUUUGGGGGUAAGAAAAAAUCUGGAAAAGCUCAAACUGGGAUUGGGGCAGGAGUGUGAGAAGAAGAAUAAUGACUUGUUUCUUAAACACCUAGACUUGGGCAUUUCUGGAUGCUUGCAAGAGGCCACCGCAGGGUGAAACCACAAAUCAAUUUAUGUCACGGAGGAAUGACUGUAUUGCACUUGUUCUCCUAAGGCAGGAGAUGGAAACCAAUCCAAAACAUUCUGAGGACUCCCCAGAGGGGCUCUGAGAGAUCCCACUUGUAAAGACUCAGAAGGGUGCCAGCGAGCAGGUGGGGCAUCAUGGAGGAGACUGGAGCCUGGUAUGAAGAGAUGUUCCCAGCACAAGGUCCAAACUCAUCUGCACUCAGGAGGAGGGAGCCUUCCGAGGGGGACCUGGUGGUGAAGACUGUCUGCAUGUAGACCCUAUGUGGAUGAGUUAGUCAAGGUCAACACACAGUCACCCAGGGACCCAGAGAGCCCCAAGAGCACCUUGGCAAGGUCAGUGAACUUCAUCUUAGUUCAUUUAUUUUUCAGGGGACAGUUUGCUGGACAAAUGAAAGAAAUGCAGAUUUUCUCAAAGAUUCCUAGGAGAAGUUGCCUAUUUCUUAGAAGAAGAGGUAGAGAUGAAAACCUCU